rnacentral:ncRNA from 1 species
AAGCCCCUGAGUUGUAGUCUUUGGUUGGGGUGACCUCGGAGCAUAAAAUAACCUCCGAAUGAAUAUAACCCAGAUUAACGAAUCUAAGUGUAACAAUACCAGUAAUUGACCCAUCUUUUGAUCAAUAGAACAAGUUACCCCAGGGAUAACAGCGCAAUCCUAUUUGAGAGCCCAUAUCGAAAAUUAGGGUUUACGACCUCGAUGUUGGAUCAGGACACCCAAAUGGUGCACCUGCUAUUAAAGGUUCGUUUGUUCAACGAUUAAAGUCCUACGUGAUCUGAGUUCAUACCGGAGAAAUCCAGGUCGGUU